AUGCAGAUCCGGAUAUCCGAAAAAUUGGCCUGCAAUCUGUGCGGAUAUUACCCGCAUCUAGAUGCCAAAUGUUUAAUGCGGAUCCGGAUUUGAAUGCGCCUACAUCCAGAUUCGGAUCCAGAUUUUACCAUCCCUAGAUGAUGUUAAAUAAUCUCAAAUUGAUCUAUGUCCAUUGCUGACUACUUUAGCAAGUUGAGAUCUGCGACUUAUAAAUUGGCUGUUGCUGGUAGUGCAGUUAGCUUUCAUCAUUCGCCUGAUGGCAGAGGUCGACCCUAUAGAGUCAUGGCCCAUGGAAGCAGAUACACAUCUAUAAAUC
rnacentral:lncRNA from 1 species